rnacentral:rRNA from 1 species
GGAUANCCUGCCCUUGGGUCCNGGCCAUAACCCCGGGAAACUGGGNAUAAUUCCGGAUAACGCACAUAUGCUGGAAUGCUUUAUGCGUCAAAUGGAUUCGUCUGCCCAAGGAUGGGUCUGCGGCCUAUCAGGUAGUAGUGGGUGUAAUGUACCUACUAGCCGACGACGGGUACGGGUUGUGAGAGCAAGAGCCCGGAGAUGGAUUCUGAGACAUGAAUCCAGGCCCUACGGGGCGCAGCAGGCGCGAAAACUUUACAAUGCGGGAAACCGUGAUAAGGGGACACCGAGUGCCAGCGUCAUACGCUGGCUGUCCAGGUGUGUAAAAUACACCUGUUAGCAAGGGCCGGGCAAGACCGGUGCCAGCCGCCGCGGUAACACCGGCGGCCCGAGUGGUGAUCGUGAUUAUUGGGUCUAAAGGGUCCGUAGCCGGUUUGGUCAGUCCUCCGGGAAAUCUGAUAGCUCAACUGUUAGGCUUUCGGGGGAUACUGCCAGACUUGGAACCGGGAGAGGUAAGAGGUACUACAGGGGUAGGAGUGAAAUCUUGUAAUCCCUGUGGGACCACCUGUGGCGAAGGCGUCUUACCAGAACGGGUUCGACGGUGAGGGACGAAAGCUGGGGGCACGAACCGGAUUAGAUACCCGGGUAGUCCCAGCCGUAAACGAUGCUCGCUAGGUGUCAGGCAUGGCGCGACCGUGUCUGGUGCCGCAGGGAAGCCGUGAAGCGAGCCACCUGGGAAGUACGGCCGCAAGGCUGAAACUUAA